rnacentral:lncRNA from 1 species
UCGACGCCACACGGGCUUGUGGUCGCCCCGUGUGGUAGGUCAUGUGCGAAUACACAGCCGUGUGGUCAACGAAGGCAUGGUAGUGUGCAGCACACGGUCGUGUAGUGGCUCGAGUGUGGCCGUGUGGGCCACACGGGCAACACCAAUUUGGGCGCGUGGGCCACUUGGGCGAGUGGGCCCACACGGGUAAACACACGAGCG